UGAAUACGAGACGCUAAGGCGUCGAAGUAGUGUAUGUCAUACUUCCAAGAAAAGCUUGCACUGUCAUAGAUAAAAAACGCCUGUACCAUAACCGACACAGGUGGGUAGGUAGAGUAUACUAAGGGGCGCGAGAUAACUCUCUCUAAGGAACUCGGCAAAAUAACUCCGUAACUUCGGGAGAAGGAGUGCCUUAUUCGUAAGGUUGCAAUAACAAGAUCCAAGCAACUGUUUAUCAAAAACACAGGUCUCCGCUAAGUCGUAAGACGAUGUAUGGGGGCUGACGCCUGCCCAGUGCCAGAAGGUUAAAGAAGUUGGUUAGCAAUUGCGAAGCUGAUAACUGAAGCCCUGGUGAACGGCGGCCGUAACGAUAACGGUCCUAAGGUAGCGAAAUUCCUUGUCGGGUAAGUUCCGACCCGCACGAAAGGCGUAAUGAUUUGGAUACUGUCUCGGAGAGGGGCUCGGUGAAAUAGACUUGUCUGUGAAGAUGCGGACUACCUGCACCAGGACAGAAAGACCCUAUGAAGCUUUACUGUAACUUGAAAUUGAAAUUGGACUUUAUUCGCGCAGCAUAGGUGGGAGGCGUUGAUUAUAAUCUUGCGGGAUUAUUGGAGCCAUCAGUGAGAUACCACUCUUGUAAUGUUAGAUUUCUAACUUUGAAUCAUUAUCUGGUCAAAGAACAGUUUCAGGCGGGCAGUUUGACUGGGGCGGUCGCCUCCUAAACGGUAACGGAGGCGUACAAAGGUUUCCUCUGAACGGUUAGAAAUCGUAUCUAGAGUGUAAAGGCAUAAGGAAGCUUGACUGUGAGACCUACAAGUCGAGCAGGGACGAAAGUCGGUCUUAGUGAUCUGACGGCACUGAGUGGAAAGGCCGUCACUCAACGGAUAAAGGUUACUCUAGGACAACAGGCUGAUCUCCCCCAAGAGUUCACAUCGACGGGGAGGUUUGGCACCUCGAUGUCGGCUCAUCGCAUCCUGGGGCGGUAGUACGUCCCAAGGGUUGGGCUGUUCGCCCAUGAAAGCGGUACGCGAGCUGGGUUCAGAACGUCGUGAGACAGUUCGGUCCAUAUCCGGUGUAGGCGUUAGAAUAUUGAGAGGAGCCUUCUUUAGUACGAGAGGACCGAGAAGGACAUACCUCUGGUGUACCAGUUAUCGUGCCAACGGUAAACGCUGGGUAGCUAUGUAUGGAGUGGAUAACCGCUGAAAGCAUCUAAGUGGGAAGCCCACCUCAAGAUAAGUAUUCUCAUCA
rnacentral:rRNA from 1 species